CAUGCGGUCCCUUUCGUGAAUGUACAGUUUUAAAUUGAACUGUGAAGCAGAGCCAGCCAUACUCAGACCUCACAACAUAAAAAAUAUUGACAAUGUAAAGCUAAUAUAAGUUAAUCAAGAGUUAGCUAGCUAAAGUUGGUUUCACAGUUUUGAUAAUAAUAAUUAUCAGCUAACGUGAUUAUGGAAGCUAGUCCGUUCGUUUGCUAGUAGCGAUAAAAAAUACUUUUAGCAAAGUAUCACUUCGAGAAGUGCAGGUAGUAGAAAUAUAACAUGGAUACAACUUUACUUCACCCCGAUGAAAAGAAAGCAAGUUAGAAGGGUCUUCAGUGACAAAAGGGGUCGUUUGGAUUAUUUCAUGGCCAGGAGCAGUUUCCAGGUUACCAACGGAGACUCCAGGAAUACUUCUUCUGAUACAAACCAGCUGAGGGCGGUGCAACUGCCAUACCAGGCGAUGAUGCAGCCAGUCGAGAUGCUCGCUGUGGUGCACCUGUAGAUGUUUCAGAGUAUCGCUGAGUCCAUGUUAACUCUGCAGCCUGCGGAGGAAGAAGAGCCGCUGUCAAGCUGUUUUGUUGAUGGCGUUUGUGUAAUAAGUCCAUGUCAGGUCCUCAGUGAUGUGGGCACAGAAGAACCUGAAGCUGCUGACUCUCUCCACAGUAGUCCUAUUGAUGGCGAUAGGGAAUGGAAAGUUUGACAUGAGUAUUUAUGUAUGAUUUGUUAAACUGUUGCAAUGUCCCAGCUAAACAUUUUAACAGUUUUAGCUCAAAAGCAAGAAUAAGCAUUACCGUCUCCGCAUCAUUAGGCAGUCACUUUGCAGUGAAGUUUGCAAUGAGUGCUGGGAUGGAUGUGUUCAGAACUCUGCCUAUUGUCACACAGCUGGACCUUUAGCUACAGUAGAGACAAGCCAGCGGAGGAGAGGCAUGGCAUGCAGCAGAGUUUUUAAUCUAUCUGUCUGUCUCCUCUCUGUUAUUAACCUCACGCCCUGACAGCCUGCUCCCUGUGACACUGACCUGCUUCACCUAAUGAGCUACCAAUUACUACAAAUUAGGCGAGAGAGAGGCCGCUGCUAUCAUCCACUCCGCACACUGUUCUUAACAGUUCUUUGGG